ACGUAAAGAACCUGCCUCAUAGACUGGGACAACUAUUGAACGAUAGCUAAUACGGAUAACAGCAUUAACUGCAUGGUUUGAUGUUUAAAAGUUGGUUUUAGCUAACACUAUGAGAUGGCUUUGCGGUGCAUUAGCUAGUUGGUGGGGUAAAGGCCUACCAAGCGACGAUGCAUAGCCGACCUGAGAGGGUGAUCGGCCACACUGGGACUGAGACACGGCCCAG
rnacentral:rRNA from 1 species